AGGGGGGGGCAUUCGGCUCAUCGAGAUAACACCCUUGCCCUUACGAGCACCUAUCCGUUUCCUCGGCGGUCAUCGGCCGCCAACGGGGACCCCUCAAACGCUUUGCAAUGAGAAGUAAACCGUCUGAUACAAAACAAAAAUUAUCACAACUUUCAACGAUGGAUCUCUUGGCUCUGGCAUCGAUGAAGAACGCAGCGAAAUGCGAUAAGUAGUGUGAAUUGCAGAAUUCCGUGAAUCAUCGAAUCUUUGAACGCACAUUGCGCCCUUUGGCAUUCCAUAGGGCAUGCCUGUUCGAGCGUCAUUUCAAACCUCAAGCUCCGCUUGGUCUUGGGCGAUCGUCCCGCCUCCGCGCGCGGACCCGCCUCAAAUGCAUUGGCGGCCGGCAAUCCGGGCUAUGAGCGCAGCAGAAUCGCGCCUCUAACCGGGUAGCAGGCGCUCCAGCAAGCACCUCUCCACGUUUUGACCUCGGAUCAGGCAGGGUUACCCGCUGAACUUAAGCAUAUCAAUAAGGCGGAGG
rnacentral:rRNA from 1 species